AAAUUGGUUUGUCACUUGAAUGCAUUUGGAACUUUGUGAUUAGGGUUGUGGAAACCAAGAUAAUGUCUAAGUUAUAUAACAGUUCUUUCCAUAAUCAAUCACUGUCUAGUUUUAGAUCUACCUAAGAAGGUUCUUGCACACAUGGGAAUAAGCUGACUGAGGUAAUAGAUGAGGGGUGGGGAGGAAGGCAACAGAAAGCACGUUGCACUGUAAUUAUCAGAUGAGACCAUCGUGUUGAUUUCUCUUAUUUUGUGUGCUACAGUUCCAACUCACUGAUACUUUCUCUGCUCAGAAGGCAGACCCAAAAUGAAUCUGCUCAUGCCUGACACAGGAACUUGUUGUGUUACUUCCCACAAAGAGCCUCGUGGAUCCAUCUUGUUUGCAGCAGCUGGAGAGGAAAUCCCUGCUGGAGGGAUUCAGCCUCCUCUUUGCUGGAAGCCAUUCCCUGCACCAGCAGGGAGCAAGCACGAACACAGCGGAGGUUGAAAUGAGCUCUUUUAUCGGCUGCUCUCAAAUGGGGUGUUGCUUGCCUGACAGACACAUAAUCUGUGAAGAAAUCCACAGAUACAAAGUUUCUCUGACAAAUUUUCUUUGUAACUUCAAAAAUUAAUUUUAAAGCUAAAUCUUAAGUCUGAAUUCUGUGACUGUUGAAGGGCAGAUUAAAAUUGUAUCAUUAUCCUCAAUAUUGCAUUUCUGACAAAGAGGACACAUCUAGGUUCAAACACAAUGUCUGAAGGGCCUAAAUGAAGGCCUAAGGGAUAUAUUAGUAAUAGCACCGUCCUUUGGUAUGUGCAUAUAUAGCCAGGAAAAAAAAAAAAGAUACCCUUUCCAGACAAUUUCCACAUCAUUUCCUGUUUCUCCGUGACCAUGUUGAUCCCAUCACUUAUUCUCCAAUAUCAUAAACAAGUCAUAAUAUAUUAGUAAAAGCAGUUGCCGAGUUCAUAUAACUGACAGGAAUCCUGAGAAAUAGGUUAUACAGCAUUGAUCUCCCUGGAGGCCUUAAAUAACAAUCUGAAAUGUAUGGGACAGUGAUCACUGGGUUUGAUGCUGCAGUUUCAGUUUGGUAUUUUGCAAUUUAUAGUUUCCUGAUAAAUUGGAAUCCACUCAGCUGGUUCAUAUUAUGUGGGACUAUGAAACUGUCUAUGUUACACUGAAGGAUUAAAGUGAGAUGGAAAUGACUUGGAGGUGUGUAAUGACUUUGCAUACAAAAAUAACAUCAAUCCAAAAUCAUCUCCACCCCAUUAGCAGGAAUGCUACAACACAUCAUGUAGACAAUGCAUUAGUUCAGGGUGCCUCUCCACUCUAACAGGACAUUCCAGCCCCUAUUUUCAGGAUUUCCCACUUGACUGUUUGAAACUAUUGCCUUGGGCUAAAACUUGUAUUUGUAAAACAAGGUUUCAGCUUGGUGAGAUAUUAUUUUUCCACUCAUAUUUUUAACAUUGCAGAAGGGGAUGGGGGUUGAAAAUCAAGUUGUCAUUCAAUUUGUAAUGCUCUGAGAGUAUAGAAAAGACAAUUUGCAGUUUGAAAUAUACUUUUCCUUCCUAAUUAGUUUCUGGAUGUUGGUAACAAUCUGAUUUUUCUGUGAAAGAAUUCCAAUAGUACAAGUGGACAUACCAUUAAAUGUUUGCAAAAUAUUUUGGAAGGUUAUGCUUUUCAAGCUAACAUCUUUGAUACUCUAAAGACUGAAUCAGGAUUGGUGCCUAAGAAAAAGUUUGUUAAAAAUAUUAAAGUUGGCAGAGUUGUGUCAUUUGAAAA